rnacentral:tRNA from 4 species
GGACCCGUAGCUCAGCCAGGAUGGAGCGCCGGCCUCCGGAGCCAGAGGUCCCGGGUUCAAAUCCCGGCGGGUCCG